GAACGCACCUUGCGCUCCUUGGUAUUCCGAGGAGCAUGCCUGUUUGAGUGUCAUUAAUAUAUCAACCUCUUCAGCUUAUGCUUGUUGAGUGUUGGAUGUGGGGGGGGUAUUUUUUUUGCUGGUAUCUUAUGAAGUCAGCUCCCCUGAAAUGCAUUAGCGGAACAAUUUGUUGACCGUUCAUUGGUGUGAUAAAUAUCUACGCUAUUGACGUCAGUCAGUUCAGCUUCUAACAGUCCAUUGACUUGGACAAAAUUUUCAUUAAUGUGACCUCAAAUCAGGUAGGACUACCCGCUGAACUUAAG
rnacentral:misc_RNA from 1 species